rnacentral:antisense_RNA from 1 species
UCCAAAGCGAAAAGUUAUUCUUUGAAAAUCCUACUUUUAAAUCGCUUUGUAUUUGACAAUCUGGUGAGCAUGGAUUUAAUGGCUUUGAAUUGAAAAAUAAUAUGGUUCUCGCAAUGCAAGAUGCUGAAAUUGACGAGAAGAAGUUUUCGGAAUUUAAGUCACUAGUAUAAACAUCUGACCAAGUAAAAAUAUCGGAGCACAUAAUGAUAUCAGCGCAGUUACCAAUAAAUGGAAUGUAAUUCUCCUGAAGCAAUAAAAUUAAUGAGCUAUCCUCUAAUCCUGAAUAAAGCAAUAGCUCUUCUAUGUCAAAUGUUAGCUUUCCUUUUAAGAAAUCUUGUUGAGUAAUAUGAAUAUUUAAAAAAUGCUCAUUUAUGUCUUUAAAGCCUUCACAAUAAUACGCACAAUGCAAAUUAUUCUCAUUAUUAAUAUAUUCUACUAAUCCAGCUCUAUUAUUCCAGGCAUUCAAAAAUUCUGAAUCAAUUUUUGUACGUUUUGUACAUGCGUUUUGUAGGG